AUACUUACCUGGCAGGGGAGAUACCAUGAUCAUGAAGGUGGUUCACCCAGGGUGAGGCUCAGCCAUUGCACUCCGGUUGUGCUGACCUUUGCGAAUUCCCCAAAUGUGGGAAUCUCGACUGCAUAAUUUCUGGUAGUGGGGGACUGCGUUCGCGCUCUCCCCUG
rnacentral:snRNA from 2 species